UACGAAGGGUGCGAGCGUUGUCCGGAAUUACUGGGCGUAAAGAGCUCGUAGGUGGUUUGUCGCGUUGUUCGUGAAAACCUGAGGCUUAACCUUGGGCGUGCGGGCGAUACGGGCAGACUGGAGUACUGCAGGGGAGACUGGAAUUCCUGGUGUAGCGGUGGAAUGCGCAGAUAUCAGGAGGAACACCGGUGGCGAAGGCGGGUCUCUGGGCAGUAACUGACGCUGAGGAGCGAAAGCGUGGGGAGCGAACAGG
rnacentral:rRNA from 1 species